rnacentral:misc_RNA from 1 species
CCGUGUUCUACGUCGGGGGCAACCCCCCCCGGCUUGCACUUCCCUUGUGUAUCCACUCUGGUUGCUUUGGCGGAGGACGCCGCGUGCGUCGCCGCCAGAAGACCUUCAAACCCUGGUUUUUGCAGUGUCGUCUGAGCCACUAUGAAAAUGAAAUA